rnacentral:tRNA from 1 species
CGGGAAGUAGCUCAGCUUGGUAGAGCACUUGGUUUGGGACCAAGGGCUCGCAGGUUCGAAUCCUGUCUUCCCGA